rnacentral:rRNA from 1 species
UACGUAGGGUGCAAGCGUUGUCCGGAAUACUGGGCGUAAAGCGUGCGCAGGCGGCGCGUUAAGACAGGUGUGAAAGCCCCCGAGCUUAACUUGGGAAUUGCGCUUGUGACUGGCGUGCUGGAGUGUGGCAGAGGGAGGUGGAAUUCCACGUGUAGCAGUGAAAUGCGUAGAGAUGUGGAGGAACACCGAUGGCGAAGGCAGCCUCCUGGGCCAGCACUGACGCUCAUGCACGAAAGCGUGGGGAGCAAACAGG